rnacentral:rRNA from 1 species
CCUACGGGGGGCAGCAGUGGGGAUUAUUGGACAAUGGGGGGAACCCUGAUCCAGCCAUGCCGCGUGUGUGAAGAAGGCCCUCGGGUUGUAAAGCACUUUCAGUGAGGAAGAACGCCUGGUGGUUAAUACCCAUCAGGAAAGACAUCACUCACAGAAGAAGCACCGGCUAACUCCGUGCCAGCAGCCGCGGUAAUACGGAGGGUGCGAGCGUUAAUCGGAAUUACUGGGCGUAAAGCGCGCGUAGGUGGCUUGAUAAGCCGGUUGUGAAAGCCCCGGGCUCAACCUGGGAACGGCAUCCGGAACUGUCAAGCUAGAGUGCAGGAGAGGAAGGUAGAAUUCCCGGUGUAGCGGUGAAAUGCGUAGAGAUCGGGAGGAAUACCAGUGGCGAAGGCGGCCUUCUGGACUGACACUGACACUGAGGUGCGAAAGCGUGGGUAGCAAACAGGAUUAGAUACCCGUGUAGUC